rnacentral:rRNA from 1 species
ACGAACGCUGGCGGCGUGCUUAACACAUGCAAGUCGAACGGAAAGGCCCCCUUGUGGGGUACUCGAGUGGCGAACGGGUGAGUAACACGUGAGUAACCUACCCUUGACUUUGGGAUAACUUCAGGAAACUGGGGCUAAUACCGGAUAGGAGCUCCUGCUGCAUGGUGGGGGUUGGAAAGUUUCGGCGGUUGGGGAUGGACUCGCGGCUUAUCAGCUUGUUGGUGGGGUAGUGGCUCACCAAGGCUUUGACGGGUAGCCGGCCUGAGAGGGUGACCGGCCACAUUGGGACUGAGAUACGGCCCAGACUCCUACGGGAGGCAGCAGUGGGGAAUAUUGCACAAUGGGCGGAAGCCUGAUGCAGCAACGCCGCGUGCGGGAUGACGGCCUUCGGGUUGUAAACCGCUUUCGCCUGUGACGAAGCGUGGGUGACGGUAAUGGGUAAAGAAGCACCGGCUAACUACGUG